ncrna:unclassified sequences pemK RNA
ACAAUGAUACUCCUGUACGCAGCUCGAAGAGUUCCUUCGAGGGGUGCGAUUCCCGUGC